CCAGCACCCCGAGUGGUCGGGACGAUUAUUGGGCCUAAAGCAUCCGUAGCCGGUCUUGCAAGUCUUCCGUUAAAUCCAGCUGCUUAACAGAUGGGCUGCGGAGGAUACUACAAGGCUAGGAGGCGGGAGAGGCAAGCGGCACUCAGUGGGUAGGGGUAAAAUCCUCUGAUCCAUUGAAGACCACCAGUGGCGAAGGCGGCUUGCCAGAACGCGCUCGACGGUGAGGGAUGAAAGCUGGGGGAGCAAACCGGAUUAGAUACCCGGGUAGUCCCAGCUGUAAACGAUGCAGACUCGGUGAUGGGCCGGCUUUAUGCCGGCUCAGUGCCGCAGGGAAGCCGUUAAGUCUGCCGCCUGGGGAGUACGGUCGCAAGACUG
rnacentral:rRNA from 1 species